UACGGGGGGGGCAAGCGUUGUUCGGAAUUACUGGGCGUAAAGGGCUCGUAGGCGGCCAACUAAGUCAGACGUGAAAUCCCUCGGCUUAACCGGGGAACUGCGUCUGAUACUGGAUGGCUUGAGUGUGGGAGAGGAAUGCGGAAUUCCAGGUGUAGCGGUGAAAUGCGUAGAUAUCUGGAGGAACACCGGUGGCGAAAGCGGCAUUCUGGACCAUUACUGACGCUGAGGAGCGAAAGCCAGGGGAGCAAACGGG
rnacentral:rRNA from 1 species